ensembl:misc_RNA
CGGGAAGGAGGCCAGUGCUACCAGGGUUAUCUCACAACCUCAGAUGCUGGAUAAGUCGAAGGAGGCAGAAUCGCUUUGGGAUGACAUUCAGAAAGGCUGGAGUGAUUACUUGGAAGAGAAAAGCCUACCUAUUCUUUCCAAGGUAAACAGUUCAUUUCAUCUGGU